CCUCGGGAGGCAGCAGUGGGGAAUAUUGCGCAAUGGGGGAAACCCUGACGCAGCCAUGCCGCGUGAGUGACGAAGGCCUUAGGGUUGUAAAGCUCUUUCGCUAGGGAAGAUAAUGACGGUACCUAGUAAAGAAGCCCCGGCUAACUCCGUGCCAGCAGCCGCGGUAAUACGAAGGGACCUAGCGUAGUUCGGAAUUACUGGGCUUAAAGAGUUCGUAGGUGGUUGAAAAAGUUGGUGGUGAAAUCCCAGAGCUUAACUCUGGAACUGCCAUCAAAACUUUUCAGCUAGAGUUUGAUAGAGGAAAGCAGAAUUUCUAGUGUAGAGGUGAAAUUCGUAGAUAUUAGAAAGAAUACCAAUUGCGAAGGCAGCUUUCUGGAUCAUUACUGACACUGAGGAACGAAAGCAUGGGUAGCGAAGAGGAUUAGAUACCCUCGUAGUCCAUGCCGUAAACGAUGUGUGUUAGACGUUGGAAAUUUAUUUUCAGUGUCGCAGCGAAAGCGAUAAACACACCGCCUGGGGAGUACGACCGCAAGGUUAAAACUCAAAUGAAUUGACGG
rnacentral:rRNA from 1 species